rnacentral:lncRNA from 1 species
UUAUCAUGACACCAGUAAAUGUAAACAGGUGCGUGGAGAAACUUAUCGUGACACCGGUUUUUAUACUCUACAGACUGCAGCUGACAUUAAAUUGCAGAAACAAAACACAAAAUAUACAUAAAAUGUUAGCCAGGCAAUUUUUCUUUAUUGUUAUCAUUAAUCAAUAACCAUUAUUGUAAAUCUCACAUUAUGACUGUUUUCAUGCGUCUUACAAUACUAAAGUAUGCUUAAACUAGUGAACCUCACGAUAUAAUUGUUCUCACAGGUCUCAGAACACUAAAUGAUUUGACAUUAAAAUAUUCUGAUAACAAUAAUUUCAAAUGUGAAUAACAGCAUAGGCAUUCUGUUCUAAACAGAAUUAAAGACAAUAAUGUUACUUUGUGGUUGUAUCUUGUAUUUUCUACUAGCCUUUUACUAUGCAGAAAAUAUAACUUUGUGCAUUAGGAACUUAACCAACACCGAACAAUUAUAAUAAUAAAUGUAUGAACAAUAACUUUAAUUGAAGAUAUUUACAAAACAUUACAGUGUAUAUGAAUAUACACCUUGGUGAAGUCAUUUGGAUUUAUCAACGUCAUCAUAUAGCGCUACUUUUCUUACCAAUCUCUUGUGUAUCAUGUUAUGCUAUAAAUUAGCAAAGUAUUCUCUAAGAUAGGACCUUCGUUUAAGCCCUGAAACAAUUGUCUAACAGUUAAGGUCUAAAACAAUGUCUUUAGCAAACCUUGCAUUAUGUCAUUUUUGCUUUUUUCAUUCUCAGCCAUGUGACUUAAUAUCAUUUGUAGAUAUUUUUGUUUGUCAUCAGUAUCAUGUUUCAUAACAUGAUUAGAUGUUUUUGUGUGUCUUGUUACAUUUUCAAUAACCAUGUUACUUUGAUUAUUUUCAGACUCGUUUGACAAAGACUGUGUAUCCAUGUCAUCUGUCUCUAGGGACUGAUCAGAAUGCGAAGCACCUGAUUCCAUACGGGAUUCAUUAUCAAGCAUCAGAAACAUCAGAUUCAUCGUUACUGCUUGAGCUAGAAUCAUCUGGAGGUAUUACAUAGUUAACCCUUCGUCUUGGAUAACCUUUGACAGCUUUACGUUCGGGCCAUUCAGCAAUGUCAGCAAGCCUUAUCUGAUCUGCAUGCACUUGAACAACUGAAUUGUCAAGCUGGUUCUUAAUAAGGACCUCCCUAAAGGCAGAACUUGUAAAUUCUGACCCUCGGUCAUGAAUUAUCUGGAGAGGACAUCCAUAUCUAGGAUAUAUCUCAUUCAAAAGUAAGUCUAUUACUGUAUUUGUACUUUUAUCAGGAGCUGCGAAAGCUUCUGGAAAACCACUGAACAUGUCAA